rnacentral:lncRNA from 1 species
UAUUGCCAGCUCUGUAGUACAUGAUGUCAAAUAGAAUAAAUGAAAAUAUAAUCUAAAAUUAUUCUAAGCUUAAAUUUGCAUUCCAAUUCUUAAUAAAUUUGUGAGCAUAAUGUAGACCUUUGGACAUUUGGGAAGAUUUAUGAUUAAACUUGGCAAACAUAAUUAUAAUUUGAAACAAAUGGGACUGGGUCAUGACCAACUGACUUAGAGUCAAUGAUUGAACACUGGGACCUAUUUGAUGAUAUUAAUAGGAACUCAACCUGGAGAAAUUAAUUUUAUUUCUCCUAAAGGUAACAGGCAUGGGAGAUACUAUUACUAGAAGAGAUUGAAGUCUCAAUGGAAAAAGCUAAAUGAGGGUAUUUACAUUUUAACUAAUGAGGAAACUCUGUGUCCCAGUCUUAUCUGCAGUCACUUUCAAGGAUACCUUCUUCUCAUUUGUCUCCUUGAGUGUUUCAAGAUUUUUAUUUUGGUAAAUAAAGGAAAGAAAGAAAAACAAAUUGCUGAAAGUAGAACAUUUACAACUUUCUCUCAAUUUGUUAAGGCAACCAAGUGCACAACCCAUUAUCGUGCCAGUUCUAAACCUCUGUUGAGUUAGUGGUAAUACAUUAUGUAGCCUAGAAAAUAAGAAUUCAGUGCUAAAUUCUUUUCAGUAAAUCUUAAUAUUGUUUACUCUUAAACUGAAAUCACGCAAUAAAAAAAAUAAUUAUGACCAGUAUGUGUCAGGUACAUAGAACAUGCAAGGCAUUCUGCUAUGUACUUUAUGACAUUUAAAUUCAAUUGUCACAAGAUUUACAAGGUCUUUGUUGUUUAUUUUCUUCUUUUUUAUAGAAAAGGAAUCUGGGAACAGAAAAACCAAGUCAUUUGCUCUGGGUCACCCUGUUACUGAGUUGGAGAACUGUGAUUUGAAGCCAGAUCUCUGGCUUAUAACCAAACGCCUUUUCCACUGCAUGAUUUUCCAUCUCCCCUACUUAUUGCAGUCAAGAAUGAGACCCAUAGUCUGGACCACAGGAUAUUUGAGUGGCAAAUAUUUUCAGUAUUUCCCUUCUUACUGAGCCUGGCCUGUGACCUCCAGUCUCUCAAACCUCAGGAGUUCUUGCUCAAGAGCUUCCUCAGGCCUUCACACAAAUAAAGGUGGGUCAGCCCCAGAGACCUCCA